GGGGCUCCGCCGCCGGAGGCGGGGCAGGGAAGUAAGGGGUCGGACUAGCAGGCGGACUGCUUCCCAAGCAGGCAGGCCUAGCGCGCUUGCGCGGAGCGGCCCUGCGCUCAGUGAGGCUGUGGCGGGGGAAGGCACCGGUGGGGCCGACUGGUGGGUAGUAGGAGGGAAGCGGGCGAGCGAAGUCCCAGUGCGCGCCGCGGCGGUCCGGGUACCCUCCCCUUCCGGGCGUGAGGCGCUGUGAGAAGAGCUGAGCCGAGCAGACCCGCGCAGACACGCACCGGCAUCAAGGCGUAGCUCCCGCCGCCCCAUCCCGGCCUCCUUCGGCUUCGAGCUCCGGUCGCGGGGCCCGGGUUCCUCAGCACAUCCAGCUCCAGCCGCCCCUAGAGCUUGUCCGCAGCCCUUCGGAAGCCCCGGCGGCAGCCCGGGCCCUUGGCGGGGAGGAUGACGGAGCUGCAGUCUGCGCUGCUACUGCGAAGACAGCUGGCAGAUGUUUUCAGUCCCACUUCUUACUACUGACCUUCCUCGUUCGACAGUCACUGACGUGGCGCCUCUCUGGGGUUCUGCCCAGAAGAUUAGCCUUCCUCCUUCGCUUCGGCCCCUCUGUGAGUAUUGUACUCUUCUCCCUCCACUUCACUGAUCGUUCACGUUUGUCCAUCUGUCUCCAUCUUUCAGAACUGUAGGCAAACGACCUAGGCUUUAAAAAGAAAAAUUCUAAUUAAGAUUAUUUUUAAAAUUCUGUUGACUUAGGUUUUUCAGAGAGAGAGGAGAUAAACAGCACAUGAACUGAACUGGCAUCUUGAACUAACAGACAGAUUACAGGGUUAGACUAGGCCAAAUAGUUUUUGUUUUGUUUUUUAAAAAUAUGUGUAGUAUGUGUUCUUUAUGAGUUAGAUCUAUUUACAGUAUUUUAUUUUUUAAGAAUUGUAAGAUACUGCUUGAAAGUAUAUUAAGUAGAUGUAUAACAUUCUUUCAAAUGUUGGUAUUACAGUAUUCCCUACAUUUUGAGUUUCAGGUUGCUUUAAAGUUAUACUUAGGAAUUAUUUAAUUAUAGGUGAUGCUUCUCUGAAUUUUCCCUAUGAAAAAUAUUUUUGUGUAAUCUACGG
rnacentral:lncRNA from 1 species